rnacentral:rRNA from 1 species
GAUAAACGCUGGCGGCGUGCCUAAUACAUGCAAGUCGAGCGAACGGACGAGAAGCUUGCUUCUCUGAUGUUAGCGGCGGACGGGUGAGUAACACGUGGAUAACCUACCUAUAAGACUGGGAUAACUUCGGGAAACCGGAGCUAAUACCGGAUAAUAUUUUGAACCGCAUGGUUCAAAAGUGAAAGACGGUCUUGCUGUCACUUAUAGAUGGAUCCGCGCUGCAUUAGCUAGUUGGUAAGGUAACGGCUUACCAAGGCAACGAUGCAUAGCCGACCUGAGAGGGUGAUCGGCCACACUGGAACUGAGACACGGUCCAGACUCCUACGGGAGGCAGCAGUAGGGAAUCUUCCGCAAUGGGCGAAAGCCUGACGGAGCAACGCCGCAUGAGUGAUGAAGGUCUUCGGAUCGUAAAACUCUGUUAUUAGGGAAGAACAUAUGUGUAAGUAACUGUGCACAUCUUGACGGUACCUAAUCAGAAAGCCACGGCUAACUACGUG